rnacentral:rRNA from 1 species
UACGUAGGGGGCAAGCGUUGUCCGGAAUUACUGGGCGUAAAGGGUGCGCAGGCGGCCGCGCGCGUGGACGGUGAAAUCUCCUGGCUUAACUUGGGAACUGCGUCGGAUACUGGUGGGCUUGAAUCCGGGAGAGGGAUGCGGAAUUCCAGGUGUAGCGGUGAAAUGCGUAGAUAUCUGGAGGAACACCGGUGGCGAAGGCGGCAUCCGGGACCGGCAUUGACGCUGAGUGAGCGAAAGCCAGGGGAGCAAACGGG